GGGGAGGCCAAGGAAGUUUGGGCCCUGGGCUGUUGUGGCUCUUCCACUGUGAGGUGUGUACGUUUGUGUCACUUACCGCAUGGGGGCCCUUCCGGGAUCCUGGUUGGUGGGUGGGGAGCAGACAGGCCUGGCACCUACCCCACCCAGCCGGAACUGCCGGAUGGGAACCUCUCCUCGCCGACCCACCAGUCUCCAAACCCACAACACACACAACGCGACGACCGCGUGCGCCCACGCCACCCUGAAUUCUCACACACACCUCGGACGCCGAUACCCACAGGACCAGCGGGGCUCGGCGGGAGCAGCCUGGCUCCCUCUGCCCCCCGCCCCUCCUGACCUGCGGCGCGCAGCCCUCCGAAGGAAGAGGGGAGUCGAAAAACAUCAGACCCCAGGGCACCGUUUCCGGGAGCAGGCAGGGAGGCGUCCAAGGCCACAUCCCCUCCGUCCUCACCUCCCGAAGACCUGAGAGACUCUGUGGUGAGUCUACAGCUCGUCCUAGCCCUCAAGAAGGCGGAUUUCCCUCCUGCCUCCAUAUUCCUCCCGUGUCCAGUGCAUAGUCCAAGGUGCCUCUCAAUCAGUGCGCUUGACUCAGCAUUCCCAAGUGCUGGGUAGGGACAGCGGGACUCACCCCACUUCACUCAAUGGAUGCCAAGGCCUCGGCCGCCUCACCUCUGCAAAGAAGGCCUUGAGCUGGUCCAGGUGCUGGAAGAGGCUGGGGGAGUUAGUGUCCAGACGGGCCAGGCGCUGGGCGGCUUCCUCUGCCAACAGCCGGGGUGGGUGUGGCUCCUGCAGACACGUGG
rnacentral:lncRNA from 1 species